UAAGGAAUAUUGGUCAAUGGACGCAAGUCUGAACCAGCCAUGCCGCGUGAAGGAAGACGGCCCUACGGGUUGUAAACUUCUUUUGUACGGGAAAAAACCACCGGUCGUGAACCGGUGCUGAUGGUACUGUAAGAAUAAGGAUCGGCUAACUCCGUGCCAGCAGCCGCGGUAAUACGGAGGAUCCAAGCGUUAUCCGGAUUCAUUGGGUUUAAAGGGUGCGCAGGCGGAAUGAUAAGUCAGAUGUGAAAUCCCCGGGCUCAACCUGGGACCUGCAUUUGUGACUGUAUAGCUAGAGUACGGUAGAGGGGGAUGGAAUUCCGCGUGUAGCAGUGAAAUGCGUAGAUAUGCGGAGGAACACCGGUGGCGAAGGCGACUUUCUGGCCCUAUACUGACGCUGAGACGCGAGAGCGUGGGUAGCAAACAGG
rnacentral:rRNA from 1 species